rnacentral:rRNA from 1 species
UGGGGAAUUUGGACAAUGGGCGAAAGCCUGAUCCAGCAAUGCCGCGUGUGUGAAGAAGGCCUUCGGGUUGUAAAGCACUUUUGUCCGGAAAGAAAUCCUUGGCUCUAAUACAGUCGGGGGAUGACGGUACCGGAAGAAUAAGCACCGGCUAACUACGUGCCAGCAGCCGCGGUAAUACGUAGGGUGCAAGCGUUAAUCGGAAUUACUGGGCGUAAAGCGUGCGCAGGCGGUUUGCUAAGACCGAUGUGAAAUCCUCGGGCUCAACCUGGGAACUGCAUUGGUGACUGGCAGGCUAGAGUAUGGCAGAGGGGAGUAGAAUUCCACGUGUAGCAGUGAAAUGCGUAGAGAUGUGGAGGAAUACCGAUGGCGAAGGCAGCCCCCUGGGCCAAUACUGACGCUCAUGCACGAAAGCGUGGGGAGCAAACAGGAUUAGAUACCCUGGUAGUCCACGCCCUAAAACGAUGUCAACUAGUUGUUGGGGAUUCAUUUCCUUAGUAACGUAGCUAACACGUGAAGUUGACCGCCUGGGGAGUACGGUCGCAAGAUUAAAACUCAAAUGAAUUGACGGGGUCAUAGCUGUUUCCU